rnacentral:rRNA from 1 species
GAUGAACGCUGGCGGCGUGCCUAAUACAUGCAAGUCGAGCGAACGGACGAGAAGCUUGCUUCUCUGAUGUUAGCGGCGGACGGGUGAGUAACCCGUGGAUAAACUCCCUAUAAGACUGGGAUAACUUCGGGAAACCGGAGCUAAUACCGGAUAAUAUUUUGAACAGCAUGGUUCAAAAGUAAAAGACGGUCUUGCUGUCUCUUAUAGAUGGAUCCGCGCUGCAUUAGCUAGUUGGUAAGGUAACGGCUUACCAAGGCAACGAUGCAUAGCCGACCGGAGAGGGAGAUCGGCCACACGGGAAGUGAGGCACGGUCCAGACUCCGACGGUAGGCAGCAGUAGGGAAUCUUCCGCGAUGGGCGAAAGCCUGACGGAGCAACGCCGCGGGAGUGAUGAAGGUCUUCGGAUCGGAAAACUCUGUUAUUAGGGAAGAACAUAUGUGUAAGUAACUGUGCACAUCGUGACGGUACCUAAUCAGAAAGCCACGGCUAACUACGUG